rnacentral:rRNA from 1 species
UACGGAGGGAGCUAGCGUUGUUCGGAAAUACUGGGCGUAAAGCGCACGUAGGCGGCGCAGCAAGUCAGGGGUGAAAUCCCGGGGCUCAACCCCGGAACUGCCCUUGAAACUGCAGUGCUAAAAUUCUGGAGAGGCGAGUGGAAUUCCGAGUGUAGAGGUGAAAUUCGUAGAUAUUCGGAAGAACACCAGUGGCGAAGGCGACUCGCUGGACAGACAUUGACGCUGAGGUGCGAAAGCGUGGGGAGCAAACAGG